rnacentral:lncRNA from 1 species
UCCCCAGGCGCGCGGAUGGGCACUGCCCCGAGUGAUGCCCUCGCAGCGGAGCGGGCAGUGCACCUGUGUACCUGUGCACCUGUGCCUGUGCCUGUGGACCUGGACCUGUGCGCCUGUGCGCCUGUGGACCUGUGCCUGUGCUCCUGUGUACCUGUGCCUGUGGGCCUGUGUGCCUGUGCCUGUGGGCCUGUGUGCCUGUGUACCUGUGCCUGUGCGCCUGUGCGCCUAUGGCCUGUGUGCCUGUGUACCUGUGCCUGUGGGCCUGUGUGCCUGUGCCUGUGGGCCUGUGGGCCUGUGUACCUGUGCCUGUGGGCCUGUGUGCCUGUGUACCUGUGCCUGUGCGCCUAUGGCCUGUGUGCCUGUGUACCUGUGCCUGUGGGCCUGUGUACCUGUGCCUUGGGCCUGUGUGCCUGUGUACCUGUGCCUGUGCUCCUGUGUACCUGUGCCUGUGUGCCUGUGUACCUGUGCCUGUGGGCCUAUGCGCCUGUGUACCUGUGCCUGUGCGCCUGUGCGCCUGUGUACCUGUGCCUGUGUGCCUGUGCGCCUGUGGCCUGUGUGCUUGUGUACCUGUGCCUGUGCUCCUGUGUACCUGUGCCUGUGUGCCUGUGUGCCUGUGCCUGUGUGCCUGUGUACCUGUGCCUGUGUGCCUGUGCGCCUAUGGCCUGUGCUCCUGUGUACCUGUGCCUGUGUGCCUGUGUGCCUGUGUACCUGUGCCUGUGUGCCUGUGCCUGUGCUCCUGUGUACCUGUGCCUGUGCGCCUGUGUGCCUGUGUACCUGUGCCUGUGUGCCUGUGCGCCUGUGGCCUGUGUGCUUGUGUACCUGUGCCUGUGCUCCUGUGUACCUGUGCCUGUGUGCCUGUGUGCCUGUGUGCCUGUGCCUGUGUGCCUGUGUACCUGUGCCUGUGUGCCUGUGCGCCUAUGGCCUGUGUGCCUGUGUACCUGUGCCUGUGCGCCUGUGCUCCUGUGUACCUGUGCCUGUGCGCCUGUGUACCUGUGCCUGUGUGCCUGUGUGCCUGUGCGCCUAUGGCCUGUGUGCCUGUGUACCUGUGCCUGUGUGCCUGUGUGCCUGUGUACCUGUGCCUGUGUGCCUGUGUGCCUGUGUGCCUGUGCCUGUGUGCCUGUGCGCCUAUGGCCUGUGUGCCUGUGUACCUGUGCCUGUGUGCCUGUGCUCCUGUGUACCUGUGCCUGUGUGCCUGUGCGCCUCUGUACCUGUGCCUGUGCGCCUGUGUACCUGUGCCUGUGUGCCUGUGUACCUGUGCCUGUGUGCCUGUGCUCCUGUGUACCUGUGCCUGUGUGCCUGUGUGCCUGUGCGCCUGUGCGCCUGUGUGCCUGUGUACCUGUGCCUGUGCGCCUGUGCACCUGUGUACCUGUGCCUCUGCACCUGUGCGCCUGUGCGCCUGUGUACCUGUGCCUGUGUGCCUGAGCACCUGUGUACCUGCUGCCCACGCCGGCGGAACGUGCUUCCUUCGGGUCAGCCCACCAGAAGCCACAGUCCUCUCUACCCCACAGAAAAUGUUGAGGUCAGGGAUCCCUGGGUGGCGCAGCGGUUUGGCGCCUGCCUUUGGCCCAGGGCGCGAUCCUGGAGACCCGGGAUCGAGUCCCGCAUCGGGCUCCCGGUGCAUGGAGCCUGCUUCUCCCUCUGCCUCUCUGUCUCUCUCUUUGUGACUAUCAUGAAUAAAUAAAUAAAAUAUUUAAAAAAAAAAAGAAAAAAGAAAAUGUUGAGGUCAGACGGACCCAGGUCACCCGCCGGAGCGACAGGGGCACCGUCCCGGUUACUGGGGCCGCGGUUACUGCGGGUGAAGCCUUGGCGGCCAAGGGUGAUCUUUGUCUACAAGGUGUUUCUAUCCGUGUCGUUGACCCGUUUACCGUCACGCCCCUGGACGCCGCCAACCUCCCCUCCAAGGCGAAAGCUACAGGUGGCCGAGGUGUCACGGUGGACGGCCGCCUCGGGGAGGGCGCAUCGAGACGCGGUCCUGUUCGUCAGCCGGCAGGGUCGCAAGGGCCUCGGCGUGGGCAACCUGGCGAAUUGCUGGAUAAAUCUGGAAUCGGUGCCAGACACCUCAUAGCAGCUGUGAAAAAUACUUUAAUGAGCUGAAAUAGCUGACUUCUUAGAGUUAAUCUGUUGUCUGCUUUGAUCUUAAAACACGGGCACCUUUAUAUUACAUUCAGGCUUGUUACUAAACCGUCGUUGAUGUAUCUAUACCACUGUGCUUUUUCUAAAAGAGAUAUUAAACACCUUUCCUCAUUUCUAACUCAAGAAUUCAAGUUAACCACUUUUCUGUUAAACACUCACUGUAUAUGCAGAUGUCCCUCUCAUUUUUUAACGAAAGUAGGUUAUAACAUUUUAAGUAUCAAAAUAACAAAACAGCCACCUAAUACCACGUUUUCUGUAAGACCACAGAUAACUGGUGUGGGAAUCAACAUAGAGAUAAGUUUCUUAAAUGUGUGGAAUUUUUCUUGUAAGUA